rnacentral:rRNA from 1 species
CCCUUAGAUGUUCUGGGCCGCACGCGCGCUACACUGAUUCAUGCAACAAGUUUUGUCCUUGGCUGAUAGGCCUGGGUAAUCUUUGAACGUGAAUCGUGAUGGGGAUAGAUGAUUGCAAUUAUUCAUCUUCAACGAGGAAUUCCUAGUAAACGCAAGUCAUCAGCUUGCAUUGAUUACGUCCCUGCCCUUUGUACACACCGCCCGUCGCACCUACCGAUUGAAUGGUCCGGUGAGGCCUCCGGAUUGGCGCGCACCUCGGUGCCGCCGAGAAGUUGGCUAAACCUUACCAUUUAGAGGAAGGUGAAGUCGUAACA